CAAAAUAAAUAUGUUUUCUCUCAUAUAAUGAUGGGAAUAUGGCCCAUAAGUCUCUACCCAAUGACCGUAAAUCAUUGGACUAUGAGAGAAAGUAGUUCAAAA
rnacentral:ncRNA from 2 species